UUCUAUGACCAAUUCAUUAAAAACUACCUUAAAUUUUUGGUCCUUAGGAGACUAGUAUUUUUUUUUAUAUAUAUAUUUACUAAAUCUUUUGUUGCAGCAUAAUUUUAAAGCUAUAUCUAAAAUAAGGUUUAUAUCAUGAGUUGCGAGAAUUGAUCUAACUUGCUAUGGCAACUCUUUGGGAUAUCUACAAAUUACUCCCCAACCUAUUAUAGGUUUCACAAACGGUUUUUAUCUUGAACCGGCUCAACACAAGCAAGAUUAUUGUUUCAUAUGUACCAAUCGAUUGAGUUUUAUUCAUGUGUUAAAUUGAAUUGGAUCAUCAUCAGGCCUGAAAUUUACAGGGGAGUGGAGUCCGGUUUACAAAGAAACCAGCCGAAUGUCAAUCUAUUAGUUUAUAGUAAUAACAGCUGACCUCAUUCAAAGAUCAAGUUACUGGUCGGUGGAUUAACGUGUGUUAACCUAUUUUUUUUUUUAUAAAUAAAAUAGAAAGCGCUUUGUUUUGAGAUUUUAUUUUCUUUUAAAAAAACUUAAAACUACGAUUGCUUUGAAAAACAUCAGUUAUCCUGUUGAUCCAGCGUGGCCCGGCCAUAUUUUCUUAGGAAUUAAGAAGACGAACCAGCACCCUUCAAUCUAAUAACAAAAAGCAAACGGUAAGCGAGCAGAACCUGUUACCUGUAUAAUUGAACUCUCAAUAUUCCUUUGAUUAUCCUCUUUCUUCUGUGUUUUUAAAACUUUUUUUCAUGUAAAAAACUUAAAUUCCACAGUAUUUGCCGUGCUGAAAUAUUAAAUCUCGUGUUCCCUUCUUUGUUUUGCACCCCAAACACGCACGUAUAUGUGUCUUUAAUCCCAUCAUUUCAUUAACAAAAACCUCUCCUCUCCUCUCUCUGCCCUCUCUCUUCUCCCUCAAUAAAAAAAAAUCUUUCUCAAUCAACAACUUUCUCUUAAUUAUCAAGAAACUGUCUUUCUCUAUCAAGAACCUCCACUCUCUUAGAUCAAGAACCUUUUCUUGAUCAAGAACUGCCUCUGUUCACCCUCUUCCCAUUUCUCAAAACUCCAGCUCUAUAGCCUUGGCAAUUUACUUCUCAUGGAUAACUUUAACCUUCGCUCUGCUUACAGAGGUUCGAAUAAUCUUGAGCGCUAUGAUUGUUUUGAUGUGCAAUGUGACGACAUGUACUGUUAUACAAUCACUACUGAUAACGAGAUAUGCCUCAUGCAAUGGAUUGUUAGGUUGUUUUCGCUUACCUUCCCAAAUAGUGGAAAAAGACUGAAGGUAUCUAUGGACAUGAUUUGGGACCAGUCCGUUGAUGAUCACAGCUUCUUCAUUCCUGUUGCCCUUCAAUUUUGUUAUGAGCAUUUUUGCAUCAUCUAUCAUGUUUCUCCUCCACAGAACUUUCCAAUAUUCUCCCUGGAAAGCUUCCUGAAUCACGAUCAUGUUGAUUUUUUCGGUUUCCAAAUGCUGUAUAAAGUCAGAUAUCUUCGUCAGCAAUACAAUCUUGUUGUGAAAAACUGGUUUGAUAUCUCAUGUCAGGUUUGUCUUUCAACCCCAGCAUUCCUCCGUAACCAUGACGUCAGCGUGCCUCUACAAACACUGAUAUCCGUGAUAUUCUCGAAGAAGUAUCUAAAGCCUGAUGACAUUCUUCAAAGCAACUGGAGGCUGCGUGAACUUUCUCUCGAUAAAAUAAUGUUUGCGACCCUAGAUUGCUUUUUUGUCUACAAGAUUGCAAAUCUGAUCACAUUUCCUCUUCCAUUAUAAAGGGAGGCUCAAAUAUUUCUCAAGAGACUGUUGAUUCUGAUGGUUUGGUGUUUAUUAUUCUCAUGACUUAAUGGCUAGUUAGGGUUACUUCUAGCUCUCUUUAGUAGGCAGUUUUAGGGGGUUUCCUUUGUAUGCUGAUGGGGUUUACCUGCUGUUUUUUUGAAGAGGAUGUUGAUGCAUCCUGUCUUGAUGAUAUUGGGUCCUUGUAAACUAGCCUACUUCUUUGUUGUAUGCUCAACUUUCAAAAAUUGAAAGAAAUCAGUGAAGUACUUUUAAUGAAAAGAAAAGAUUCGUGCAGUGAAAUAA